rnacentral:rRNA from 1 species
UACGGGGGGUGCAAGCGUUGUCCGGAUUUACUGGGCGUAAAGAGUUCGUAGGCGAUUAGGUAAGUCACUUUUCAAAGACCGGAGCUUAACUUCGGGAAGGGGAGUGAUACUAUCUGAAUUGAAAUAUUUUGGGGCUAUUGGAACUAACGGUGUAGGAGUGAAAUCCGUUGAUAUCGUUAGGAACACCGAGGGCGAAGGCAAGUAGCUAAAAAUUAUUUGACGCUGAAGAACGAAAGCUAGGGGAGCGAAA